rnacentral:rRNA from 1 species
UACGAAGGGGGCUAGCGUUGUUCGGAUUUACUGGGCGUAAAGCGCACGUAGGCGGAUCGUUAAGUCGGGGGUGAAAUCCUGGAGCUCAACUCCAGAACUGCCUUUGAUACUGGAGAGCUCGAGUCCGGAAGAGGUGAGUGGAACUGCGAGUGUAGAGGUGAAAUUCGUAGAUAUUCGCAAGAACACCAGUGGCGAAGGCGGCUCACUGGUCCGGUACUGACGCUGAGGUGCGAAAGCGUGGGGAGCAAACAGG